rnacentral:tRNA from 1 species
GAUUGAGUAGUCAAAAAUGAUUUUAAAUUGCAAAUUUGAAGGUAAAGCAUAAGUUUCUUUCUCAGUCU